rnacentral:rRNA from 1 species
GUGGAUUAGAUACCCUAGUAGUCUAUGCUGUAAACGAUGUGCACUUGGUGUUGGGCCGAUUAGGUUCAGUGCCGAAGCUAACGCGAUAAGUGCACCGCCUGGGGAGUAUGCUCGCAAGGGUGAAACUCAAAGGAAUUGACGGGGGCCCGCACAAGCGGUGGAUUAUGUGGUUUAAUUCGAUGAUACGCGAGAAACCUUACCAGGGUUUGACAUGUGCAGGAAUAAGCUAGAGAUAGUUUAGCCCGCAAGGGUCUGUACACAGGUGCUGCACGGCCGUCGCCAGCU